GCCCAGAGGGUGUCUGUGUUCUCAUUGCAGAGACUCACAGCUGGUGUUCUCACUGCAGAGACGCACAGCUGUGUUCUCAUUGCAGAGAUGCAAAGCAGUGUUCUCACUGCAGAGACGCACAGCUGGCGGCUGAAUCUGCACAGAAGUGAACAACUGGAUCUUGUUCACACUUGGACAGAGGAAGGUUCCUGAGUAAGCAGGCUGUGCCCAGGAGGAAGGAGAGUGCCCAGAGGCCCUGGACACGAGGAGCAGCAGAGAAGAGACAGGGCCCCUGAUGAUGAGGGAAGGGUUCUCAGACCUGGAGAAACUGAGCAAAAAGGGACCACUCCCAGGAAAGUGCGGCCUCAAGAGGAGCUGGGGAGCAACUGGAGGAAGGUGGCAGAGGGAGGCUUGGAGCUGGGCCUCCAGGGACAAGUAGCCCGUCACACGGUGAGGCCAGUGGGGAAGCACAUGCAUGGGGAGGGCAGCCUGUGCCAGGGAGCUGUCAGUCUCCUGCAGCAGGCCCUGUGGAGACAGAGAGGGUGAGGAACACGGGAGCUCGGGCAGUCGGGAGAGUCCAGGUGCUCGGCCAGGGACUUUCCUAACGCCCCUUUCCCUUCCCAGGGAGGGUGACUGCAGGCACACAGGGAGAUGGUUGGGAGAAUCUGUCCGCCCACGAGGAGGGGAGGGAUGCAUGCCUGGCCAUGCAGCUGGCCAGGGACAGGCUUCUCCAGGGUCCUCCCCUCUCCCACCAACAGCCUCUCCAGAAAGGGACCAGUCAGAGGCUAACAGAGGAGGAAGCCCUGGUGAGGAAUUCAGCAGAGGAAGCACCAUCAGCAUCCACACCCAGCUGAGGCCCCAGACAAGGGUCAGGGCCAGGCCAAGAAUGGGAGGGAAGGGCGGAAGGAUGAGUCCAGUGCUCAACGCAUUUACAAUUGUUUGUCAUCACCCAGGAGCCGGCCCUUCUGCCUGAGCUCUCCUCUUCUUUCUCACUUGACUCUGUUCUCAUGUUUCAUGAUUUCAAUAGGCUGGCCUGGCUCCUGGGGUCCUGCAGCUUUGGGGCAGAGAAGGGGCAGAGGGCCGCCAGCUCUCCUCUUCCAGGGCCUGCCUUUGUGACUUCUCUCCCAUCCACAUGACGGUGCCUCCAGCCUUCGCCACCAGGCACACUCCCUAAAAACAAGCUGAUGGUUACUCUUCCUGAGGGAGAGCUGGGAACAUCGCAGAGAAAGGUGCAGGAAGAAGGAUUCUAGGCUUGGAGCUUAGCAUAGAAACAAAAGAAAGACACCAGCUCAAUUGUGUCCCACUCUCUGCAGCCUCACGGACUGGAGCCCUCCCAGAUCCUCAGUCCAUGGGACUU